rnacentral:sRNA from 1 species
GUCAAUAACCCCAACCUAAGAGGAUGGGGCGAGGGAUGACGACCAACUGUCCGUGUUUGACUAGACCAUUGAGCCGAAUUUUGGUACGAACAUCCGGAUGCUUCCCCAGUCCGGAUCUCUUCAAAACUGUGUCGUCAGUUGCUCUUAGACAGGACAUCUUAGAUUCGGUGGUCGAGGGGACGGGUAAUCAACCC